rnacentral:sRNA from 1 species
AUUUACCCCGGAUGGAAGCGGAAAUCCUUUUGAGAAAAAAACCUGUUGUUGCCGGCGGAAGAAAGCGACCAACGGAAGCUUACUAACGGCGAUGCAACGACGGUUUUUUUGAAAAAGAUUGCAGCGGACAGCCGGAUCAGGU